rnacentral:tRNA from 1 species
GCGGGAGUAACUCAGGGGUAGAGUGCUAGCUUCCCAAGCUGGACGUCGCGGGUUCGAAUCCCGUCUCCCGCUCUA